CAGUAGCGUAUAUUAAAGUUGUUGCAGUUAAAAAGCUCGUAGUUGGAUUUCGGAUGGGACUUGCCGGUCCGUCGUUUCGAUGUGCACUGGCCAGUCCUAUCUUGUUGUCGGGGACUAGCUCCUGGGCUUCACUGUCCGGGACUAGGAGCUGACGAGGUUACUUUGAGUAAAUUAGAGUGUUCAAAGCAAGCCUACGCUCUGAAUACAUUAGCAUGGAAUAACACGAUAGGACUCUGGCUUAUCUUGUUGGUCUGUGAGACCAGAGUAAUGAUUAAGAGGGACAGUCGGGGGCAUUCGUAUUUCAUUGUCAGAGGUGAAAUUCUUGGAUUUAUGAAAGACGAACUUCUGCGAAAGCAUUUGUCAAGGAUGUUUUCAUUAA
rnacentral:rRNA from 1 species